UGUACCCCCAUCCCAGCAGCUAAAAGCACAACCAUCCCUUAGUCCCCCGACGGUUUGGCAGCGGAGAACCAAACCCUUAACCCCCGCCACCCCGUCGUUACCUGCAGACCCCAACCCUAUCGCAUCUACUGCGUCGUCGUCCGUCCCCCCCCUCCCCGAGAAAUGAGGGGAGGAAAAGGGAGAAUACACACAUACACAGAGUGAGAUGAUGGGGAAGGGGGCGGUGUCCUCCGGUACCUCCCCCCCCCCCCCCAGGAUAGGGCUGAUGCUGGCGCGCUACCCGGGUACCGGGGAUGGCCCCCGCCGCCACGUCUUAAACUUCGGGGAAACCCGUUUCGACCCCCCAUUCCCCUUUCCAGUAGGACCAGCCUUUUAGCCCGGCGAGGGAAAUAAAGACCUCUCAGGGGCUCACUGAAAGAUCUGCAGGGAUUUGCAACUGUCAAAGGGAAGACUCGUUCAGAAGAACCCAGCAAGAUGCAUCAAUAGAAUGUUUGCUUCCAACAUACCCCACUGAGCACUUUUUUAUCUCGAGGAGGUCGAAGCCAUAAUUGCACUUCAAAGAAAAUGCCCUCCUGCUCUUGCCCUCAACUUAAUCAUGGGAACAAGCUCAGAAAUCAGAUGGACACCAACCAAACUCUGGAAAAGGAGUAUUUGGUAUGUUGAACCAGAGAAACAUUUCCUAGAACAAUCAGCUCAGCUCUUCUCAACUGCAACACUAUUUCCUCACAGACUUGAGAUCAAAGACUCUUAUUUUAGCUAACAGGGCUCUCAGCGUGCUUUGGGAAGACUGUCCCACCGUUCCACUUUUCAGUUCAAAUUUCCAAAGGACAAAUCCUCACUGCCACUGCAGAUGGCUGCUGGGAUGAACUCCAACUCCUCUAGUCCAUUACACAACUCCAGGGACUGCUGCUUCUCAUGCUUCCUUUGCAAAGGCUAAAGUGAUGGUGCAAACUGUGGAGCAGGGGUGGACUCUCAUGCUGAAAAAGUACUUCAGAAAAAAUGCCUCUCCUCCGUUACCUCAUGAGAGAGGAAGAUGACAGAAUCACAGAAUCACAGAAUGUCAGGGGCUGGAAGGGACCUCAAAAGCUCACUCAGUCCAACCCAUCUGCCAGAGCAGGAUCACCUAUACCAGAUCACACAGGAACACAUCCAGGAGAUAACAAAGGACUUCUACCGUAAGUAAGUGGCAGGGUUGGAGAAGUUGGAGAGAUCUGGAACUGGGCACCUGGGAAGAGGCAGUGCCUCGCUGGAGAUGUUAAACUCUGCAAUCAGCACCAGGAGAAGGAGCCAAACAAAACCUGCCCCAGAAUAAAUUUUCAGGCUGGUUCUGUUUCACUUUUUUUUUUUUUUUUUUUAAAAUAAAUAUGUAUUUGAGGAGCUGUGCUCAUUAUGGUGGUUUACUUACAGGAGGCAAAGCUCUG